GCGAUUUAUAAACAAACACACCCUCCGACAGGAAUCGAACACUGCGAGUACUGUCAAUUAUUUUUCACCAGCUGAAAAACAAUCGUGUUGUGGCAGGAACAUCACAGCUUCGUAUCAGCGAGUUUUAUACCCAAGGCGAGCAUAAUUCAACAGGAUCAGCAUCAUCAGACAAGACAGGAGGUCAGUAUUUACUUAAGGUGUCAGUAUUUAUUUGGGUUAUCAAGUGUGAGAUGUACUUGUAACAAGCUUUCCUAAGUUAACCUGUAACCAACAAAUAAAUCAGAUUCCAGCAUCAAAGAAAAGCACCAGAUUUGGAGAGUAGAAAGUUGCUCAAAUAUAGAGAGGGAUAUGAUGAAUAUUUCUAGUAACUUAA